ACCUCGGAUCAGGUAGGAAUACCCGCUGAACUUAAGCAUAUCAAUAAGCGGAGGAAAAGAAACCAACAGGGAUUGCCCUAGUAACGGCGAGUGAAGCGGCAACAGCUCAAAUUUGAAAUCUGGCUUCGGCCCGAGUUGUAAUUUGUAGAGGAUGCUUUUGGUGAGGUGCCUUCUGAGUUCCCUGGAACGGGACGCCAGAGAGGGUGAGAGCCCCGUAUAGUCGGCCACCGAUCCUCUGUAAAGCUCCUUCGACGAGUCGAGUAGUUUGGGAAUGCUGCUCAAAAUGGGAGGUAUAUCUCUUCUAAAGCUAAAUAUUGGCCAGAGACCGAUAGCGCACAAGUAGAGUGAUCGAAAGAUGAAAAGCACUUUGAAAAGAGGGUUAAAUAGCACGUGAAAUUGUUGAAAGGGAAGCGCUUGUGACCAGACUUGUGCCGGGCUGAUCAUCCAGUGUUCUCACUGGUGCACUCGACCCGGCUCAGGCCAGCGUCGGUUCUCGUAGGGGGAUAAAAGCUUCGGGAACGUGGCACCUUCGGGUGUGUUAUAGCCCGUUGCUUAAUACCCUUGUGGGGACCGA
rnacentral:rRNA from 1 species